UUUUUUUAAAUGAAAGGCUAGACUUGCUCCUCAGCAGCGGGGCGCUGCGCGACGGGGUCGGAGCUGACUCGCAGCAGCAGGAAAUCCCUCCGGUCGCCGCGACGCCUAGCCCCGGCUCGGCGCCCGCGUGGGAUGCUGCAGCGCUCGCGCUGGCCCUGAGAGCUGCUGCACCGAAGGCCGGCGACCAUGGCAGCGCUCCCGCCGCCCGCGUCCCCCGUCCGCGCCCGCGCCCUCCUGCUCUCCCUAGCCGGGGCUCUGCUCGCGCCCCGCGCGGCCCGAGUUACACGUGUCGCCCGGAAUGGAGCGUGUGGGUCCUCUCACUGAUCCUGUACGAUAGUGAGUCUCCAUCACAGCCUCUGGGCCAACCCUGCCCGAGGGUUUCUUUCCACCCCUGUGUCCGGCUGUGAUGCACUCGAGGGACGCGCAGUAGCCACGCAGGGAAACUCAUGGUACCUUUGCUAGUUCAGCAACUUGAAUUUGCCCUUGUGCGUGGAAGACACAGAUUCUCAG
rnacentral:lncRNA from 1 species